rnacentral:rRNA from 1 species
GUGGGGAAUAUUGGACAAUGGGCGCAAGCCUGAUCCAGCCAUGCCGCGUGAGUGAUGAAGGCCUUAGGGUUGUAAAGCUCUUUCACCGAUGAAGAUAAUGACGGUAGUCGGAGAAGAAGCCCCGGCUAACUUCGUGCCAGCAGCCGCGGUAAUACGAAGGGGGCUAGCGUUGUUCGGAUUUACUGGGCGUAAAGCGCACGUAGGCGGUUUGUUAAGUCAGAGGUGAAAUCCCGGAGCUCAACUCCGGAACUGCCUUUGAUACUGGCAAGCUAGAGUCCGGAAGAGGUAAGUGGAACUCCUAGUGUAGAGGUGGAAUUCGUAGAUAUUAGGAAGAACACCAGUGGCGAAGGCGGCUUACUGGUCCGGAACUGACGCUGAGGUGCGAAAGCGUGGGGAGCAAACAGGAUUAGAAACCCUUGUAGUCC